rnacentral:tRNA from 1 species
GAGGUAUUAGUAAAACCAUUACACAAUCUUGUCGAGAUUGAUUUAUAGGAGAAACCCCUAUAUACCUCU